rnacentral:lncRNA from 1 species
GGGUUGUCAGAAACAGUCACGACUUUGCUUCCUCGCGGAGCAUAAGUUAAGACAAAUCAUGACUACCACGACAGCAACUCGCAAGCGCACGAAGUUAGCUCGGCCUUCGGCCGAAAACACUUCGAAGAAAGACGCUUCGGUAUCGUCUGCUUCAGUAAACGCUUCGGAGAUCGAAACUCAGCAUGAUUCCGAAGUCGACACUAUAACUCCUCCGGAAAACCCGAACAAAAUCAUUGACCCUGCCACGGUCACCAUGAUCAAGGCGGUCAGCACGGCGACAACCGCCGAGUAAGAAUACUCGCGGCAUAAAACAUAACUACGAGAUGGCUUGAUCCUCGAAAGAGGUACGUAGGCAGCUCGUCGAAAGACGAGUUCAGCUAUCCCCCUCUCUAACAAGGAGGGGGGGGGGGAGUGGGUACGUAUACUCGUAUACUCCCACAUUUUAAAAGAUGCAUCAUUGUAAUCGAGCAUUUAAAAAAAAAAAAAAAAAACCUUCACUACAAUACACAUUUUUUGACAUUUUACAUUAAAAGAUGCAUCAUUGUAAUCGAGCAUUUAAAAAAAAAAAAAAAAAACUUUACUACAAUACACAUUUUUUGAAAUCUUACGCUCCAAUUAACGCAAAAAGUCUCAGGACACGCUUAAAAUGUCUACGAACAUUAGACUCUUCUCAACGGCCUUACCUAGCCCUAAACACAAAACCUUCAACAACUAAAACAUAUGUACAAUCUUCGAAAUAACAGCGAGACGUCGGCGAGUUAAAAUCGAAACUAUACAAACAACUGUCCGAACGCGACCAUAAACACUCGACAAAUAUUUACACCCCGUUCGUCGAUUGGCCCCGACGAACACGCCAACCAUCUUAAACAAACGCAACCCGAUCACUCUUUUGAUCCUCGAACAUCCAACACAAGGAUAAAAGCGCGCUGCAAAAAAAAUCCGAAAUUUUGGUCUGGCACUUCCAGUUGGCUUAAAAAUUGUCUCUGGAAAGAUGCUCGAUUCGUGCCACACAAGUCAUAUAAGCCGAGAACCUAUCGCGGACUUUAAAUCGGUACGAAUCAGGUAGAAAUCUCAACAGGAAAAUCGAUAGCCGCCUAGUCACCGCACAAACCUUAAAACCGAGAGUAAACCUAGGUCUUGCCCUAAACCCAUUGCAUUGGUCUCUAACAUCUCAAGACAUGAUAUCUAAAAACGAUACGAGAUCCUAAAACAUGUUUCUCUGUUCAUAUCUAGGCGUUCCCGAAACUUUUUAAAAAAUAAAUAAUUUUUACGAAAAUUCACGUCUUGAACAAACCAAAGGAUUGAACGUCUCGAAAGAAUUAAAUAUAAGACGACAACUCAUGUUUACUUCAAACACACUCAAAACAAAACAAUUCAAAACAAACGCCCAUUACAUACACAAAAACCGCAUAGCAGUAGGGAUUAGAAGCCACCAACGGCCAGUCCUGAUAAAAGAUAAAACAGCCAAAACAGGCCCAUGCAAAGUCUCAAAAUAAAGGCCACACUCGGCCAUAUACAGAUAAACGAAGGCCACACUUGGCCACAAACACAAGAUAGGCGAACAACCACCUCCCGCCGAACGGUCACUUCACCUCUCAAGGAUCGAAGUAAAAGUUCCCGGACAACGAAGCUCCAAACGCAUCCGCGGGACGAUCCACCUCCUCGCAAUCGCCAGGAAACUCGGUCGUGGUCUCUACCGUAUCGGGAGAAACCAGGAUUGGGACCCUGAAUCCCUGGAUCCUCCCGUCGAUCGGAGGAAUAAGCACCUCAGCGUGGGCAUGAUCCUUCAUGCCAUCCUACAUUUCCCUCAUCUCCUUCUCGAAAACGUAGUCAUCCGCCUGCGUCUUCCAAAGAGUGCCAACCGAACCGCGACACUCACGGUAAUCACCCACUAAGGAAUAAGCAUCCCUGAGGUUCCCAUACUCAGCCUGGAACUGGGAGGCACGACCUCUCAUCACCUCGACCAUCUCCCUCUUACCCUUCCGUUCCGCACGACGA